CUUAACAAACAAAAUCUCCUGUUCAUUUGUCGGAAGUGAUCACACAUCUUGCUUUGACUGACUUGAUCACUGCCAGAGGGCUUCGAGUGCAAGGACCGCGGCGUUUCUGAGCAAGAAUGCGGCCCGUCUGUUUGAUCACUUAAUCAGCACCAUGGCCAGCUCCAGUGACUUUAAUGAAAAGACGGUAAAUAAAAUCAGUUGGGUCCCUGCCUUCAGAACUGAGCAAAAUGCCAAGAAUGCUCCAAUUAUUUUUUGGCAGGCGUAGCAAUCUAGAUAGUGAGGCUUUCAGCAGUACAGCGACAUCACCAUAUCACGGUGCUGCGGAUGCUUCCGUUUGGAAAAGGCUUUGAACCGAAGGCUCAUCUUCUUAUCUGCUUCAAAGAUCCAGUGUUUCUAUUUGGAAGGGCAACGGCCUGAGGGGGCAGACAUGGCAGAGUCUGGAUACAGUUCUCAAGAUAGCCCAUGGACAGUCCUUCAGACAGGUAUUUCACUUCUGUGCACCUCAUGGGAAGACUGCAUUUGACUUCAGUUACACGUGGAGACCAGAGAAACCAGUGCUACUUAUCUUUGAGCAAUUGAGGUUUUGCGGAGGUGUUGGACAUUGGUUUUGAGACAAUACAAAGAAACUGUUUCCACUGGAAGCAAGCACCGGAGCCAACGGCAAGUCCCAGAGCAGCGAGCCCUCGUGCCACGGAACACCGCGAACAGCGAGCCCCGGCAGCAACAGUGUGUAGAUUGAGAGCCUCCGCAGCAACAAAUGGGGGAGCAGGCCCUGCAGCAGCAACGCGCGGUAACCGGUAGGAGACGGCAGCAAUGGAGGGGCAGGGGCACACUUCAGGCAGCACGGUAUGAGCUGAGAAGCCUGGAGCGGGACUCUGGUGGCGACUUGCUGUAACAGUAGAGGAGGAAAGUUUGGACUCUUAUUUUUACUACGUUAAUGUGAAUGGCACUUACGCACAGCGACUGUACACACUUUUCACUGUAUUUUAUGCUGAAUGCACGUGGCAGUGAAGGACAUGGAGUAACUUUCAAAAUGUGUCCCCGAGUUCUUAAUUUCUGGACAAGAGGAUUUGCACUGAAUUACAUUUCCGUGGCAUUACAGCAAUUCUUUGCCUGAGCCACUAAAUCAAUUGGACCCCAGAUGUGGAAGUCUUGCCGCAAUUGCCGGCGGACUCCAUUCUCACCGGGGGGGAAUUCAAA